rnacentral:piRNA from 1 species
UGCGUCUACGGGGCCUAGAGGCCUGGGAA